ACGGCUCAGUAACACGUGGACAACCUGCCCAAAGGUCCGGGAUAACCCCGGGAAACUGGGGAUAAUACCGGAUAAAUCAUGAGUACUGGAAGGUCUUGUGGUUGAAACUUCCGGGGCCUUUGGAUGGGUCUGCGGCUGAUUAGGUUGUUGCCGGUGUAACGUACCGUCAAGCCUGUAAUCAGUACGGGUUGUGGGAGCAAGAGCCCGGAGAUGGAUUCUGAGACACGAAUCCAGGCCCUACGGGGCGCAGCAGGCGCGAAAACUCUACAAUGCAGGCAACUGCGAUAGGGGAACAUCGAGUGAUACUCAUUUUGGGUGUCUGUCCUCCCGUCUAAAAAACGGGAGUUAGCAAGGGCCGGGCAAGACCGGUGCCAGCCGCCGCGGUAAUACCGGCGGCUCGAGUGGUGGCCGAUAUUAUUGAGUCUAAAGGGUCCGUAGCCGGCUUUGCAAGUCUUUUGGGAAAUCCAGCGGCUUAACCGUUGGUCGUCCGGGAGAUACUACAUUGCUUGGGACUGGGAGAGGUAGGAGGUACUCAGGGGGUAGGAGUGAAAUCCUGUAAUCCUUUGGGGACCACCGGUGGCGAAGGCGUCCUACCAGAACAGGUCCGACGGUGAGGGACGAAAGCUAGGGGCACGAACCGGAUUAGAUACCCGGGUAGUCCUAGCCGUAAACGAUGCUCGCUAGGUGUCACAACAAUCGUGAAUUGUUGUGGUGCCGUAGGGAAGCCGUGAAGCGAGCCACUUGGGAAGUACGACCGCAAGGUUGAAACUUAAAGGAAUUGGCGGGGGAGCAC
rnacentral:rRNA from 1 species